UACGAAGGGGGCUAGCGUUGUUCGGAUUUACUGGGCGUAAAGGGCGCGUAGGCGGCUCUUCAAGUCAGGCGUGAAAGCCCCGGGCUCAACCUGGGAAUGGCGCUUGGGACUGGAGGGCCCGAGUUCGGGAGAGGAGAGUGGAAUUCCCAGUGUAGAGGUGAAAUUCGUAGAUAUUGGGAAGAACACCGGUGGCGAAGGCGGCUCUCUGGACCGAGACUGACGCUGAGGCGCGAAAGCGUGGGGAGCAAACAGG
rnacentral:rRNA from 1 species